CCCUGGUGGCUCAGAUGGUAAAGAGUCUGCCUACAAUGCAGGAGACCCAGGUUCGAUCCCUGGGUCAGGAA
rnacentral:tRNA from 1 species